CGUGUCGUGGGAUGUUGGGUUAAGUCCCGCAACGAGCGCAACCCUUGUUAUUAGUUGCCAGCAUUAAGUUGGGCACUCUAAUGAGACUGCCGGUGACAAACCGGAGGAAGGUGGGGAUGACGUCAAGUCAUCAUGCCCCUUAUGGCCUGGGCUACACACGUGCUACAAUGGGCAGUACAACGAGAAGCAAGCCUGCGAAGGCAAGCGAAUCUCUGAAAGCUGUUCUCAGUUCGGACUGCAGUCUGCAACUCGACUGCACGAAGCUGGAAUCGCUAGUAAUCGCGGAUCAGCACGCCGCGGUGAAUACGUUCCCGGGCCUUGUACACACCGCCCGUCACACCAUGGGAGUCUGCAAUGCCCAAAGCCGGUGGCCUAACCUUCGGGAAGGAGCCGUCUAAGGCAGGGCAGAUGACUGGGGU
rnacentral:rRNA from 1 species